rnacentral:rRNA from 1 species
GAUGAACGCUGGCGGCGUGCUUAACACAUGCAAGUCGAACGGGAAACAUUUUAUUGAAGCUUCGGCAGAUUUAGCUUGUUUCCAGUGGCGGACGGGUGAGUAACGCGUGGGUAACCUGCCUCACACUGGGGGAUAACAGUCAGAAAUGACUGCUAAUACCGCAUAAGCGCACGGAACCGCAUGGUUUUGUGUGAAAAACUCCGGUGGUGUGAGAUGGACCCGCGUUGGAUAGUCCAGUUGGUCAGGGGUAACGGCCCUACCAAAGCGACGAUCCAUAGCCGGCUGAGAGGGUGACGGCCACAUUGGGACUGAGACACGGCCCAG